rnacentral:rRNA from 1 species
CCUACGGGGAGCAGCAGUGAGGAAUAUUGGUCAAUGGACGGAAGUCUGAACCAGCCAUGCCGCGUGCAGGAAGACGGCUCUAUGAGUUGUAAACUGCUUUUGUACAAGGGUAAACCUGAAUACGUGUAUUCAGCUGAAAGUACUGUACGAAUAAGGAUCGGCUAACUCCGUUCCAGCAGCCGCGGUAAUACGGAGGAUCCAAGCGUUAUCCGGAUUUAUUGGGUUUAAAGGGUGCGUAGGCGGAGUGAUAAGUUAGAGGUGAAAUGUCCGAGCUUAACUCGGGACCUGCCUGUAAUACUGUGGAUCUAGAGGGUAGAGGCGGAAGGCGGAAGGUAGGGUGUAGCGGUGAAAUGCUUAGAGAU